rnacentral:rRNA from 1 species
UGGGGAAUAUUGCACAAUGGGCGAAAGCCUGAUGCAGCAACGCCGCGUGAGGGACGACGGCCUUCGGGUUGUAAACCUCUUUUAGCAAGGAAGAAACGAAAGUGACGGUACUUGCAGAAAAAGCGCCGGCUAACUACGUGCCAGCAGCCGCGGUAAUACGUAGGGCGCAAGCGUUAUCCGGAAUUAUUGGGCGUAAAGAGCUCGUAGGCGGUUUGUCGCGUCUGCUGUGAAAACCCGAGGCUCAACCUCGGGCCUGCAGUGGGUACGGGCAGACUAGAGUGCGGUAGGGGAGAUUGGAACUCCUGGUGUAGCGGUGGAAUGCGCAGAUAUCAGGAAGAACACCGAUGGCGAAGGCAGAUCUCUGGGCCGUAACUGACGCUGAGGAGCGAAAGGGUGGGGAGCAAACAGGCCUUAGAUGACCCCUGGUAGUCCACCCCGUAAACGUUGGGAACUAGUUGUGGGGUCCAUUCCACGGAUUCCGUGACGCAGCUAACGCAUUAAGUUCCCCGCCUGGGGAGUACGCCGCAAGGCU